CCGAAAGGCAGGAGUGCCUGCAAGGGAGCGCGGAGACAGGUGGUGCAUGGCUGUCGUCAGCUCGUGUCGUGAGAUGUUGGGUUAAGUCCCGCAACGAGCGCAACCCUCACCUCUUGUUGCCAUCAGGUCAUGCUGGGCACUCUAGAGGAACUGCCCCGGUCAAUGGGGAGGAAGGCGGGGAUGACGUCAAGUCAUCAUGCCCCUUACGUCCUGGGCUACACACGUGCUACAAUGGCCGGUACAAAGGGAUGCCACACCGCGAGAUAGAGCUAAACCCAAAAAGCCGGUCUAGGUUCGGAUUGGAGUCUGCAACUCGACUCCAUGAAGGAGGAAUCGCUAGUAAUCGCGUAUCAGCACGACGCGGUGAAUACGUUCCCGGGCCUUGUACACACCGCCCGCCACACCACGAAAGCCAG
rnacentral:rRNA from 1 species